AAUAAGGGAUAAAUGGUUGGAAUGAGGAUUUUUGCUCCCUGGAAACCUACCAGGAGAAAAAUUUGACUCCCAUGGUUUAGAGAAGAGCCAAUAGACAUAAUGUUAAAAUCAAGACCUAAUCCCUCAACCAAGGGAAGAAGCUGGGGAGGAAAAUGUGUGUGGGGGUGUGUGUGUAAUAUCUCUGGGAUGAGAGGGGUGGGGUCAGUUCCACAAGACUGGAGAUCAUUCAUCUAAGGAUCAGAAAAAAGAGGCUUGGAGACCACAGACUGCUCAAAACCCCUGAGACUGAGACGGGGUGGUGCCUGCUGCUGGCAGGAAGCAAGGGGUGCUCGGCUCUGAGCAGUGUGGCAUGAGACCCAGUGAGUUUACGUUGCAAGGGCAGGAGCCUGAGCACCUACUUCUCAAUGGCCCCUCGGUGUAUUCAGGUGCAGCCCCUACCGGCUGGAAGGAGGGAUUUUGCUGCCAGUCAGUCUGCUAAUCCACAGAGCACUCCUGGGUCAUUCCUCAGCCUGCACACCGGAGAACUACAGUUCUGCCCUUGAAGGGAAGGUGCCUCAGCUGUGCAAAGGAAGAGCCAGUGGAGGCUGCGGCAGCACCCGGAGACUCACAUCAACUGCGUUUCUUCCACUCCAGACGUCCGAGACGGCGAAGGGUCCCAAGUCGCAUCCUUGCAAAUGAUAUCAGCUUCUCAGAAAUCAUUCUUCAUUUAUGUGAAAGUCUGUGUCUUCCAAGAUCAACACCAGCAACUUCAGUACUUAAGAGGAAAGGUCAAGCCCCUUGAAUACAUUUAUCAGACUUCAUCAGAAACCCUGGGGAUAUCUAUAACUCUGAAUGUUAAAAGGAGCAAC